rnacentral:lncRNA from 1 species
UUUCAGCCUCCUGGCUACAUACCUAGAUAUUCUCAGGUGUAUAUGUAUAUUUUAUAGAAUUGCUUCCCAUCUGUUGGUAUCAAAGAGAGUUGAAGGAAAUGAAUUUUGAAACUUCACGGUGUGCCACCCUACAGUACUGCCCCGACCCUUACAUCCAGCGGAACAAUUAUGGGUCAGAAAUGGGACAAUGGAAUGGAAACCUCAUCCCUCACUUGAUGUUGUGUCAUCCAGCUGGAGGGACCCCAUGCUCAGUCCAAUUGCUGGCUUCGAGCAUCCAUCUCUGUAAGGCUCUGGCAGGACAUCUCAGGAGACAGCCAUAUCAGGAUCCUUUCAGCAUGAACUUCUUGGCAUCCACAAUAGUGUCUGGAUUUGGUAACUAUAUGGGAUGAAUCCUCAAGUGGGACAGUCUCUGGAUGGCAUUUCCUUCAGUCUCUGAGCUACACUUUAUCUCCAUAUUUGCUCCUGUGGAAAUCACCACCCAUCAGAUCUUCUGGGUGUCAAGACUUGUGUUCGACUGGAGACCAGGCUGUCUGUGCGCAGCCCACUGCUCCACAGAGUUCUACUGCUUCUUCAGCGCCAAAAGAUCUUAUACCUACUGCAUUCCUAUUACUGUAAGAACCAGCUGUUAGGAGCAAACUUGAAAAACUUCUCCACCUUUAAUGAAAAAGACAAAGCUGGGACUCUUCUCCAGGUGAUGGAUGAGUAAAGUCUAGAGGUAAAGUUAGGCAAGAUUUCUAUCAAGUAAAAUAAUGACAGUGUGCCUUGCAGGAAGAGAACCUGUUGCUCUGAGCCUUGAGAGCCUUAUAGCUUAUACUGGAGAUUAAAAUACAGUCAGGCUGAUAUGAGCCUUUAGAGACAAAACCGUAUUCCUUUCUAAUAGUUUUGCAUACACACUGAACACAGUGUCAUUAUGGAAGUGAAAUCUCAAUUUCUUUUUAAUUUGAAUUUCUUUCAUGGACAAUGAGAUUGAACAUUUUGUCAUGGAGUUAUUAUUGUCCAUUUGUGUUUCAUCUUUCACAAUGUGUUUAUUUUAUUAGUCUGCAUCGGGUGCAUUGUCUGAUUUCUUGUUAUUUGGUUAUUUAGUUGUUUGAAUGUGCUAGAUAUUAAUCUUCUGGUAGAUAUAUAGAUGCCAAAGAUUUUCUCAUAUCCUGUAGACUAACUGUUCACUAGAUUAACUACUUUCUGUGAGAAGCUUUUUUUUUUUUUUAUGAAAUCCCAUUUAUCAAUUUCUGUCACAUUUUCUAGCAACAAGAACUCUAUUCAAAAUGUGCCUGAAUAUGCCUAUAUAAUUAAGUAUUUUCCCUUCUUUUUCCAGUAGCAGCUUUUGAGUGUUAAAUUUUUAUAUUGACAUUUUUGAUCAGCUCAGAGUUGAGUCUUAUACAUGAUGGAAGACAGUAGUUUUAUGCUUAUACUAAUAGAUAUCUACUUUUUACAGUAUAUUUACCAAAGAUGCUAUCUUCUCCUGGUGGAUAUUUUUAGCAUCUGUAAUAGUUAAUCUAGAUUGUCAACUUGACAAAAUCUAGAGUCACUUAGGAGAUAAACUUCUGGGAAUGUCUAUGAAAGAUUUUCUAUAUUAGGUAAACUGAGGUAGGAAGACUCAUUCUAAACAUGGGUGCCACAGUUGCCUGGGCAGAUUUCUUGAACUGGAGGAAAAGAAGAAAGGGUACUGAGUACCAGAAUUCAUCUUUCUCUUUCUCCUUCUUCUCUUGACUUGGAUACAAUGUGAUAAGCCAUGUCAUAUGGCACCAUUCCUUCCUGCCAUGCCAAACUAGACCACAAGUCCAAAGAAGCGUCUCUUUAGUGACGUUGCUUUACUAGAUAUUUUGCCAGAGCAGCACAAAGUUUACAGUAUCUGUCAAAUAUAGCAGGUGGAGAUGGAUGGAUUCUUACUGAGAUUCUUUGUUUUGUCCUAUUGAUCUGUUGUCUAUUUUGUGCCAGUUCCAUGCUGUUUUGUUUAUACGGCUCACUAGUAUAAUUUGUAAUCAGGUAUGAUGGUUCUACCUCAAGCACCCUCUGUACUUAGAUUUUCUUUAGAUAUCUGGGAUCUUCUGAACAUCCAUAUGAACUUUAAGGUUUUUUUUUCCAUUUUGUUAAAAAUGGAAAUUUUGAAUCUCCAGAUUACAGAUUUUGCAAUACAGCCAUUUAUACAAUAUUAAUUACUUCAGUGAAUGAGCUUGGGGCAUCAUUCUAUCUUCUAUAGUUUUGUUUAAUAUCUUUAGUGUUAAAGUGUUCAUUAUAGAUAUCUUAGGGUUUUAUUGCUGUGAAGAGUCACCAUGACCAAGGCAACUCUUAUAAAGGAAAUAUUUCAUUGGAGAUGGCUUACAGUUUCAGAGGUUUAGUCCAUUAUCACCAUGACAGGAAGCAUGACAGCAUGUAGACAGACAGAGUUCUAGAAGAGCCAAGAGGUCUUCAUCUUGAUCUGAAGGCAGACAGAGAGAGACUGGAUUAGUUUCACACUGGGAAUAGCUUGAGCAUAUAAGACCUCAAAGCCACACCUCCACAGUGACAACCUUCCUCUAACAAGGCUACACAUCCUGCAAUAAUGUGGUGACACCUCCUAAUAGUGCCACUUCAUAUGGGUCAAGGAUUCAAACACCAUGUGUCUAUGAGAUUCAUACCUAUUCAGACCAUAACAGGAGAGUUCUUUAAUGUUCUUGGUUAGAGUAAUUUUUGGGAGGUGAGAAUUAAGACUGAGAUGAUGUUUCCGAUUUCUUUCUUCACAUACUUGUUAUUGGUGUGCAGGCUUGCAUGCUAAUUUAGUAUUAAAUCUUUAUACCACAAGUGUUUAUCAGAUAUGCAAGUUUUCUAUUUUGGGGAGCAUCUCUUUUUUUUUUAAUAAAAUCAUAUCAAUUUCAAAU